rnacentral:rRNA from 1 species
AGCACAAUUAAUUGUGUGAUGGCGUGCCUGUUGAAGAAUGAGCCGGCGAGUUAUUUUUUGUUGCGAGGUUAAGGAGAUCAUAUCCGGAGCCACAGGGAAACCGAGUCUGAAUAGGGCGUUAAGUAACAGGAAAUAGACCCGAACCUUGGUGAUCUAACCUUGACCAGGAUGAAGCGUGGGUAACACUACGUGGAGGUCCGAACCAACCGAUGUUGAAAAAUCGGUGGAUGAGUUGAGGUUAGGGGUGAAAUGCCAAUCGAACCAAGAGCUAGCUGGUUCUCCCCGAAAUGCGUUUAGGCACAGCGUUGGAUUUAUCUUGCAGGAGGUAGAGCACUGGUUUUGUGCGGGCGUCGAAAUGAUGUACCAAACAAUGUCAAACUCCGAAUACCUGUAAUGUCAUUAUCCAGCAGUGAGGCUAUGAGUGAUAAGAUCCAUGGCCAAGAGGGAAACAGCCCAGAACGCCAGUUAAGGUCCCUAAUAUAUGCUAAGUGGUUAAGGAGGUAGAGUUACUGAGACAACCAGGAGGUUGGCUUAGAAGCAGCCAUCCCUUGAAAGAGUGCGUAAUAGCUCACUGGUCAAGUGACUCCGCGCCGAAAAUACACCGGGACUAAAGCAUAUAACCGAAGCUGCGUCAUAUAGUUUACUAUAUGGGUAGGGGAGCGUACUGUAGUAAGACGAAGCUAGAGUGAAAACACUAGUGGAUGAGGCAGUAGUGAGAAUGUCGGCAUAAGUAGCGAAAACAUUGGUGAGAAUCCAAUGCACCGAAAACCUAAGGUUUCCCACGGCAGGCUCGUCCGCGUGGGGUUAGUCGGAUCCUAAGCUCAGGCCAAACGGCGUAGGCGAUGGACAAUAGGUUGAUAUUCCUAUACUAUCUGAUAAUCGUUAUCAGAAGCGGAGGGACGCAAGAGGAUAAGCACGCAGUCGAAUGGAAGAGACUGUAUAAGCGUGUAGCUAGGUUUGACAGGAAAAUCCGUCAAAUCGUUAAUGUGAGGCGUGAUGUGGAGAGUCUACGGACUCGAAGGUGUUGACUCCAAAUUGCCAAGAAAAUCUUCGCUCUCGAGAUUAUUGGGUAUCCGUACCGUAAACCGCCACAGGUAGGUUGGUAGAAAAUACUAAGGUGCGCGAGACAACUCUCGCUAAGGAACUCGGCAAAAUCACCUCGUAACUUCGGGAGAAGAGGUACCCUGGUAGCGUGAAGCGAUUUACUCGUGAAGCGUGAUAGGGUCGCAGUGAAUAGGCCCAAGCGACUGUUUACCAAAAACACAGGUCUCUGCUAAGUCGAUCAAGACGAUGUAUAGGGGCUGACGCCUGCCCGGUGUCGGAAGGUUACGCGGAAAUGUUAGAAGCAAUUCAAAGCAUCGAAGCUAAGCCCCGAUGAACGGCGGCCGUAACUAUAACGGUCCUAAGGUAGCGAAAUUCCUUGUCAGGUAAGUUCUGACCCGCACGAAUGGCGUAACGAUUUGGGCGCUGUCUCGGCGAGAGGCUCGGCGAAAUUGGAUUAUCCGUGAAGAUACGGAUUACGUGUACCAGGACAGAAAGACCCUAUUGAGCUUUACUGUAGCUUGAAAUUGAAUUCGGGUUCUCAUUGCGCAGUAUAGGUGGGAGACUAAGAAGCUUGAACUUUGGUUUAAGUGGAGUCAUCGUUGAGAUACCACUCUGUGAAAAUUUGGAUUCUAACCUUGAUCCCUCAAAGAACA